rnacentral:lncRNA from 1 species
CAUUUGAGACAGUUGACUUUUUUAUUUUCUUAAAAAAAUACAAAGGAAAUUAAUUCUGUAGGUCAAUACAACUCAGAAAGAGGAAAAAGUGGAAUUCCAGAGCAAAGGGAAAGUGCAUCCUUGUUUUAAGUUAUCACAUUCCCACACUCCUAUACCCAUAAUCAACAACUUUAUGACACAGAAGAGGUCUGAAUGGUAGCUCAGAAAUGGUGAGAGCAGAGGUACUGGAACUAACAAGAAUUUUGGUUGUUCUUGAUUAUUCUGUCCUGGGAUGAAUAAAAUUCACUCGAAAGACAGGUAAGGGAAACUUAUAGCAGGAAGAAGACUAAAUGUACCAAACACAGCAGUAAAAAACACUUCUUAGCAGAAGUGUGCUCUUAAAAGAACGGGGCAGUAAUCAGGUAGUUAAACUACCAGGUUGCUGCCACCCCCCACCCCAUCCCCAAAUAAAUAGCGUAAUAGUGUAGUAGUAUUUGAUUCAACAAAGAAAGUCUUUCACCCUUUCAAGAUAAACAUUGCCAUGGCUACAAGAGCCCUGGCAGGAAAUAAGAUGAUUGUAAAAUCACAGGUACUUCUAGUUUAUCCCCAGGUAUAUUUAAGCCAUCUCCUCUCAUUCCAACAUUUGUUCAUUCUGUAUUCUCUCAGUCUCCAGUUCCAAGAUGUACAGCACUUUACUUUUAGAAAGAACUUGGGGUAAUAAAAAGAUCUUUCAAAUAAUAUAUCCUUCUCAGUCUUCUAGGUUAUAUUUAGUGGUAGUGUAGGUUCACUCACAUCCCAUCAAACUCAGUUCAUGUCACUUAUUCUAACCUCAGUUUGGAUAUACCAAACCUUUUCCCUUAAGGGAUGUCACACAGAACUCUUCCCUUGGCCCCCAAAGUUUUGAUAGGGCUUUCCCUUUUGUUUUUUUUCUGAAUGGAACUGUGGAGUCCUCAGCUCUUUUUUUUUUUUUUUUGAGAGAGAAUUUUUUAACAUUUAUUUUUUAGUUUUUUGGCGGGCACAACAUCUUUGUACGUGGUGCUGAGGAUCGA